GGGCCCGCACAAGCGGUGGAGCACGUGGUUUAAUUCGAUGAUACGCGAGGAACCUUACCUAGGCUUAAAUGUAGAUUGACGUAUUGGGAAACCAGUAUUUCUUCGGACAAUCUACAAGGUGCUGCAUGGUUGUCGUCAGCUCGUGCCGUGAGGUGUCGGGUUAAGUCCCAUAACGAGCGCAACCCUAUCAUUAGUUGCUAACAUUAGUUGAGGACUCUAAUGAAACUGCCCGCGUAAGCGGUGAGAAGGUGGGAUGACGUCAAAAUCAUCACGGCCCUUACGUCUAGGGCUACACACGUGCUACAAUGGUAACUACAGAGGGAAGCUAUCUGGUGACAGUGAGCAAAUCCUUAAAAGUUAUCCCAG
rnacentral:rRNA from 1 species